UUUUUUUUGUGAGUGUAGGAUUAGAUGGUAGGGUGUUUGUUGCAUUUUUUCUAGUGUAAAGGGAGGUAUACUCCAGUCUAGUAAGUGGCGGUAAUGCAACAUUUAUUGGAUGCCAACCGCCGUUAAACCUUAUCGAAGAAGAACGAAGUUCAACGACAAUUUGACACGGAAGUGAUACAACGGUCUAAAUUAGCAUUUUGUGUACACACUAGUUCUUACAAAAGCUAUUGUAACUAGAUAUUUUAGUAAGAGCAUGGUGUGCAAUUGCACCUUAUCGAUCAAUGUAUGAUAAAUAGACGCAAUAUAUUGCACGAGACAGGGCAGGGAGAGCUCGGUUAGCAAAUCAACUACAGUAACGUAAUCUAGCUAGCCAGAUAAACAACCCUGCAGCUUUAGAUCAAUGCAUAUUUUGGGGAUGGAGUUGGUCUAACGUCUAGAAAACAAAGGGACGUGUCGAAAAUGGGUGCAUUUUACUGUGCGAUAUGUAGGCAAACAUCUUUCUCCGGAAAAGCACACAUCUUCGGAAAAAGUCACCAGAGCAAACUCAAAGUGGUCCUUGUUAAAUUCCUCGAGAAGGUGAAAGAGGCGCGUCGAACGAUAAAAAAUCCCCAGGUGGAGAGGUUCGAUUGCACUCAGCACAAACGCAAAUGUUGGUGUUACUGCUGCGGCCUUGAGGUGGAGAGAGACGUCACUGAUGGCGACAUCACUGUGUUGUUCGGGGGCUUGUUGGAACACAUGGCCAGGCCUGACCACAGGAAGGGCACCCACACAUUCUGGUGGGAGAACAAAGCUGAUCCCAAAUUGAGGGACAAGUUUAUAAUCACAGAAAAUGAAAUGGAGAGAUUUAAAACGGAGGUGGCAAAAGCUUUAGGCUCAUUUGAGGAUAAGGAGGAUGGGCUUAUCAAGCAGCAAGCCACUCAUAUCCGAGCUCAGGAACAGCAUCGCCAGGAGGUCCUUCAGUCUCUCAUAGAGCCUAAGGCAGAGCUGGAGCUAUCGAACACAGAGGGCCCUUGCAACUCAGUGGACGAGGCUUCCAGUAGCUCUCACUUCAGGGCCCCUGGAUCCGAUGAGCAGGCCAGGUCUGGUCGGGUCGACCAAAUGGUGGCCAGGCAGUGGGCAGGCCCUGGACAGGGCCUGACCUUCAUUGGCUACCAGGAUUCAUCCAACAGUGGAAAUGUUCACACAGGAGCCAUCCCUCCAUGGUUACAGGAGGACCCCAAUGAGGGCAGGUCUGGGACAAUGGAGCAGGCGAUCGGUCCAUCACUCCAGGACUUCCUCAAACAGAGUAUUUUCUUACGAGCCCUAACCAACAAUGUAAGCAUUUCAAAGUUCUACACCUGGUUGUAUUCGGCGCAUGUGACAAGUGCAAUUUGAUUUUGUUUGUUUAGCGGAGAUCUGUGUAUAAUGUGACGCAGGAGGGCAAAAAAAAAAGCAUCUAACGACGCACUUAGCUGUUCUACGAGUGGUCUGAAGCAGGCAUUUAGAUUACGAGCGUUUUUAAAGUGCAACGUUAAUAACUUUGGUUUUAGGAAACCGCUCAGAUGUAACGAUGCUUUUAACGAACUUGGCCUUAAGAUGCUUUUUGGAAACUGGGCCCAGGGCUGUAAUUUAUUAGUCCAAACAGUUGCAAAAUGGUAUGAUUUACAACUUAAACAAGUCUAUUGGACAAAUUGAGGUAGGUCCCUCCCCGUUUCGUUUUCUUCCGUUUGAAAUGUUUUGCAACAGAAUCGGCAAAAUGAAUACGCGACAAUGUUUUGCAAUGAAAAAAUAACAAUGAGCAUUUCUUAUUGGACAAGUCCAGGUUGUCCCUCUUUUGUUCAGUGCCAAAUGAAUACAACCCCUGACACUCAUGUUGCCAUCUCUCCCCACACAGAGGAGCAGGAGAAGCUGAAGAAACUCCCCCCUAACCGGGUGGGGGCAAACUUUGACCAUAGCUCCCAGACAGAUGCCAACUGGCUGCCCUCUUUCGGCCGGGUGUGGAACAGCGGACGCCGCUGGCAAUCCAGGCACCAGUUCAGAGAG